AACGAACGCUGGCGGCAGGCUUAACACAUGCAAGUCGAGCGCCUCGCAAGAGGAGCGGCAGCCGGGUGAGUAACGCGUGGGAACGUACCCUUAUCUUCGGACUAGCUCUGGGAAACUGGAAGUAAUACCGAAUGUGCCCUUAGGGGGAAAGAUUUAUCGGAUAAGGAUCGGCCCGCGUUGGAUUAGCUAGUUGGUGGGGUAAAGGCCUACCAAGGCGACGAUCCAUAGCUGGUCUGAGAGGAUGAUCAGCCACAUUGGGGCUGAGGCACGGCCCAAACCCGUACGGGAGGGAGCAGUGGGGAAUAUUGGACAAUGGGCGCAAGCCUGAUAAAGCCAUGCCGGGGGAGUGAUGAAGGCCGUAGGGUUGUAAAGCUGUUUCACCGGAGAAGAUAAUGACGGUAUCCGGAGAAGAAGCCCCGGCUAACUUCGUG
rnacentral:rRNA from 1 species